rnacentral:rRNA from 1 species
GCUUUACUCUAACCUAAAAUAACUAUUUUAGCAACAGUUCGGUUGGGGCGACCAGGGAGCAUCAUCUCUAAACAAACAGAAAAAUAAUUCAUACAAUAUGACCCUUUAAAGAUCAUAAAAUCAAGC